rnacentral:rRNA from 1 species
UGGGGGAUAUUGCACAAUGGGCGAAAGCCUGAUGCAGCGACGCCGCGUGGGGGAUGAAGGCCUUCGGGUUGUAAACUUCUUUUGCUCUGAACAAGGCGCACCAUGGGGUGUGUUGAGUGUAGGGGUUGAUUAGCGCCGGCUAACUACGUGCCAGCAGCCGCGGUAAUACGUAGGGCGCGAUCGUUGUCCGGAAUUAUUGGGCGUAAAGGGCUUGUAGGUGGCUGGUUGCGUCUGUCGUGAAAGCUCAUGGCUUAACUGUGGGUUUGCGGUGGGUACGGGCUGGCUUGAGAGCAGUAGGGGAGGCUGGGAUUCCUGGUGUAGCGGUGGAAUGCGCAGAUAUCAGGAGGAAUACCGGUGGCGAAGGCGGGUCUCUGGGCUGUUACUGACACUGAGGAGCGAAAGCAUGGGGAGCGAAAAGG